AGAGAACUGUCAAUCUGUUGGAUUAUUUUCGGUUGUAAAUAGAAUGGCAAAGCAGAGUUUUUUGAAUCACACCAAAUACUGACAAAUUGUUUUGUUACACCAAGGCAAACACUAUGCAUAUAUUCUGGGACAAAAUGUUUGAUAAUUUCGAAAUUAGGAAGUAGCAGCAGUUGACUAGGUCCCUUAACCCCAUUAACAUCUGUGUCUGAUUGUAUUGCAGCAGAUGCCUGAUGGGUAGUCUGAUCAUGUGUUCUUAGUUGAGGAUACUCAGUAGAGUGAGGAUAUACACGUGUAAACCCUUUUCCCUUUGGUUCUAUUCCUCCCAUAUGCAGACAAAACCCACACCCAUAUCUGCCGUUAAAUUGUUUCAUGUCCUGUACCAUGGCACGGGCUGGCGCAUCACAUAUGCAGACACCUGGGGCAACUUUUGUGGUGUGUUUAUGACCAGUGUUGUCAUGCCAAGAAAACCCUUCCGUGAAUAGCUCUUGUAAUUCCUUGACAAAUGGCCUUAACAGUGUUGGCAUUUCGGGUUUAGAACUAAACCAAAGGGAAUGAAGAAGAGCAUACUUUCCACAAAUAAUAGAUGGAAGUUCAUUGACUGUGCAGAUAAUUGGCCAAAUUGAGUAAUUGGAUGUUUUAAAAACUGAAGCCCCAUCAAUAUUAAAUGAAAGUGAAAUGUUGUCAAGGGUACCAACAAAGGUUUUAAGUUUUGAGGUGUACAUACUUCCACUGUAAAUGUCCCCCAUGCCCAUAUUUGUUUUGUUGUCGUUUAAGAACUUGUAGAAAGUAGUGUUUUGGAAGAGCUCCUUCAGUUGUUGCCGUAAGGGCAUUACGAGAAAAUAAUACCCUUCAUUUUUGUUUACUCUUUCAUCAACAUUUCCGUCACUGCAGCAAGGGGUAAACAACUUACCUAUAUAUUGCGAGCAAAUUUUACAGUAAUGGUGAAUUUCGAAUUGUUUUGCCAAAUUAAAGAAAGAUCCUUUUGUAACGUAUGAAGUUAAUUGGCCAAACAAGGGAAGGAUUAUGUCAUGUCCAGGACGGAUUAUAUCAGUCAGUGGUAAGUAACACAAGUUUUUUUCUCCUUUGACUAUGUUUAGAUAAAAUAUGUGCAUAACUACAUGCAUAUGGUAAUAUUUCAAAUAUCACGGUAAACGUUUUAGUUAUAACGGUAGGCACGAUAAGGCCCCCUAGCUCGCGGCCUAUAAUGUGAGGCGCGGGAAGUGUGGGGGAAGUGUGGGGUGCGCGGCCUGGAUUUAUAGAGAGAAACUUUAUUUUGCCCAAAAUAAUACUAGCAUUUUAAACACACAUUAUGAAAACGUCAUAAUUUUGACGUUUUCAGACAACAGAGAGGAGUUAGUUUGCAAGAGGAGGCAUUAUCUUGAUGGUGGAGACAAACUGUCGAGCCCGGAGGAGAAAGGGAAGAGGAAAAGGAAGAAACUGAAGAAUGGUCGAUAUUCUGACGACGAUGACGACGUAGUAUCGCUGGAUCCUCAGUUAAGUCAAUGUAAGAAGAAGAAGAAGAGAAAAAACACAGGUCUUAACGUCUUAAUGGAACUGGAAAAGCAAGGUAUUGGUGCAGUGAUGUACAAAUAUUCACCGUAUGGAAGUGCUUCUUAACAUCAGUGAAUUAUUGUAAUGGGAUGUAGCCUAAUGUUGUCUGUCAUAUUGUACACCAUGGGGUUGCCAACUGGCCUGCUUUGCCUGGCCUAUCAGAUCAUUUUGACUUUUUGCUUUCUGUCAACUUAUUAAGCAUAUUAACAAGAUUAGAUUUGAGUAUUCAUCUCCUGUUCCGCCUGCAUUGUCUACUCGCUCAGGCUCAUCCCCCCUGCUGACCUCUGUUGUACAGUCUUGAUGUAACCCUUAACUCUAUGUACAUCUUCUGUUUGUCAUAGGAUCAUGUCAGCUGAACUCAAUUAAUGAAACCAGGAAUGAAGUAAGAUCCAAUAAUGCAAUAAACUGUCUGCACUUAAUGUUCUACCUACAAUUAAAGUUUUUAUUUCCUAACUCUAUAGUAUAGGGAUAGAUACAGCAAUAUAUUCCUGUAAUCUAUCAGCUGUAAGCUUUGUACCCUCUAACUGGCUUCUGUAUUUGCCCAGGUGUAUGUGAGUCAGUUUUGUUUUUUUAAUGGAAUUUUUAUUUUCAGUGCCAUCACCCGUCUUGUGAGCUGUUGAGGGAGAACAACCACAGGCUGCAGAGGGAAAAUGAUUCUCUCAAGGCAAAAAUAGCAACAUUGAAAUUGCUGCCAGACGUUUUGCAGAAGAUGGAGGAGUUUCUCCGCUCAGCACCAAGACCAACGACAACACCAAUACCAACACCAACACCAAGACCAAGACCAAGACCAGAACCAACACUAUCACCAGCACCAACAGCAGUUCCAGCCCCAGCAACAGAAGACCCAUCACCAGCUUCAGGUCCAUCAUCAGCAUCAGCAACAGAGGCCCUGGGCCACUCUGUCAUUCCAAAAGGACUUGUGGAGCGCUGCUCCUUCUAAAGCCCCCAGAAGUUCAUAAAUGAUCUCCUACAUGGGAUGUAUGCCAGGGAAUAUAUGGCAGGCCAUUCAGUGACUGGCCAGUCAUCCAGCAG